ACCCGCUGAACUUAAGCAUAUCAAUAAGCGGAGGAAAAGAAACCAACAGGGAUUGCUCUAGUAACGGCGAGUGAAGCAGCAAUAGCUCAAAUUUGAAAUCUGGCGUCUUCGACGUCCGAGUUGUAAUUUGUAGAGGAUGCUUCUGAGUGGCCACCGACCUAAGUUCCUUGGAACAGGACGUCAUAGAGGGUGAGAAUCCCGUAUGCGGUCGGAAAGGCGCUCUAUACGUAGCUCCUUCGACGAGUCGAGUUGUUUGGGAAUGCAGCUCUAAAUGGGAGGUAAAUUUCUUCUAAAGCUAAAUAUUGGCCAGAGACCGAUAGCGCACAAGUAGAGUGAUCGAAAGAUGAAAAGCACUUUGGAAAGAGAGUUAGAAAGCACGUGAAAUUGUUAAAGGGGAAGGGAUUGCAACCAGACUUGCUCGCGGUGUUCCGCCGGUCUUCUGACCGGUCUACUCGCCGCGUUGCAGGCCAGCAUCGUCUGGUGCCGCUGGAUAAGACUUGAGGAAUGUAGCUCCCUCGGGAGUGUUAUAACCUCUUGUGAUGCAGCGAGCGCCGGGCGAGGUCCGCGCUUCGGCUAGGAUGCUGGCGUAAUGGUCGUAAUCCGCCCGUCUUGAAACACGGACC
rnacentral:rRNA from 1 species